rnacentral:rRNA from 1 species
UGGGGAAUAUUGCACAAUGGGCGCAAGCCUGAUGCAGCCAUGCCGCGUGUGUGAAGAAGGCCUUCGGGUUGUAAAGCACUUUCAGCGAGGAGGAAGGUGGUGAACUUAAUACGUUCAUCAAUUGACGUUACUCGCAGAAGAAGCACCGGCUAACUCCGUGCCAGCAGCCGCGGUAAUACGGAGGGUGCAAGCGUUAAUCGGAACUACUGGGCGUAAAAGCGCACGCAGGCGGUUUGUUAAGUCAGAUGUGAAAUCCCCGGGCUCAACCUGGGAACUGCAUUUGAAACUGGCAAGCUAGAAGUCUCGUAGAGGGGGUAGAAUUCCAGGUGGUAGCGGUGAAAUGCGUAGAGAUCUGGAAGGAAUACCGGUGGCGAAGGCGGCCCCCUGACGAAGACUGACCGCUCAGGUGCGAAAGCGUGGGGAGCAAAACAGGAUUAGGAUAACCCUGGUAGUCCACGCUGUAAACGAUGUCGAUUUGGAGGUUGUGCCCUUGAGGCGUGGCUUCCGGAGCUAACGCGUUAAAUCGACCGCC